rnacentral:rRNA from 1 species
GGUAAUGCCGGAUGCUCCAUCACACUGCAUGGUGUGUUGGGAAAGCCUUUGCGGCAUGGGAUGGGGUCGCGUCCUAUCAGCUUGAUGGCGGGGUAACGGCCCACCAUGGCUUCGACGGGUAGCCGGCCUGAGAGGGCGACCGGCCACAUUGGGACUGAGAUACGGCCCAGACUCCUACGGGAGGCAGCAGUGGGGAAUAUUGCACAAUGGGCGCAAGCCUGAUGCAGCGACGCCGCGUGAGGGAUGGAGGCCUUCGGGUUGUAAACCUCUUUUGUUAGGGAGCAAGGCAUUUUGUGUUGAGUGUACCUUUCGAAUAAGCACCGGCUAACUACGUGCCAGCAGCCGCGGUAAUACGUAGGGUGCAAGCGUUAUCCGGAAUUAUUGGGCGUAAAGGGCUCGUAGGCGGUUCGUCGCGUCCGGUGUGAAAGUCCAUCGCUUAACGGUGGAUCCGCGCCGGGUACGGGCGGGCUUGAGUGCGGUAGGGGAGACUGGAAUUCCCGGUGUAACGGUGGAAUGUGUAGAUAUCGGAGAAGAAC